rnacentral:misc_RNA from 1 species
GAUGAAGAACGCAGCGAAAUGCGAUAAGUAAUGUGAAUUGCAGAAUCCAGUGAAUCAUCGAAUCUUUGAACGCACAUUGCGCCGGCCAGCACUCUGGCGGGCAUGCCUGUUCGAGCGUCAUUUCAACCCUCGACCUCCCUUUGGGGAAGUCGGCGUUGGGGACCGGCAGCACACCGCCGGCCCUGAAAUGGAGUGGCGGCCCGUCCGCGGCGACCUCUGCGUAGUAAUCCAACUCGCACCGGAACCCCGACGCGGCCACGCCGUAAAACACCCAACUUCUGAACGUUGACCUCGAAUCAGGUAGGACUACCCGCUGAACUUAAGCAUAUCAAUAAGCGGAGGA